rnacentral:rRNA from 1 species
UAAUACAUGCAAGUCGAACGCACUCUCGUUUAGAUUGAAGGAGCUUGCUCCUGAUUGAUAAACAUUUGAGUGAGUGGCGGACGGGUGAGUAACACGUGGGUAACCUGCCCUAAAGUGGGGGAUAACAUUUGGAAACAGAUGCUAAUACCGCAUAAAACCUAACACCGCAUGGUGUAGGGUUGAAAGAUGGUUUCGGCUAUCACUUUAGGAUGGACCCCGCGGUGCAUUAGUUAGUUGGUGAGGUAAAGGCUCACCAAGACCGUGAUGCAUAGCCGACCUGAGAGGGUAAUCGGCCACACUGGGACUGAGACACGGCCCAGACUCCUACGGGAGGCAGCAAUAGGGAAUCUUCCACAAUGGACGAAAGUCUGAUGGAGCAACGCCGCGUGAGUGAAGAAGGUUUUCGGAUCGUAAAACUCUGUUGUUGGAGAAGAAUGUAUCUGAUAGUAACUGAUCAGGUAGUGACGGUAUCCAACCAGAAAGCCACGGCUAACUACGUG